UGGUGUUGUCCAGGAGCAGGUGGGAUGGAGUUCAAGCAGAUUGGUGAAUGUUUCCACAGGGUAACAGAUCAGGGUUUGUCCAACCAUAUCUAAAUAUCAUGUCCUUCUGAGCUAUAUUGAAAUACUCAAGGGGAAAAAAUAUUAUCUGGUCUUUGUCAUAAAUGCAGCUAAGCUUUCUUCUCAACUAUUCCUUGAUAUUGAUCAUCUCAAUACAAAGGCACUAAUAGGGAAAUAUGAAGUGCUGUCCGAAGAAAACCUACAAAUGGAUUUUCAGGGGUUACCUUUGAUCUAACGUUUUCCACUUUAAUUAAUUAUUAAAAAGAAGUUAGCUUAUCUGUAGGAUUUAAUUAAACAAAUCAAUGCCACUUUUGAGUAACAGAAGUAAAAAUAUUAUUCUUAAGCUAGUGCACUUAAAACAUCCACAAAUUUCUCUAAUAUUUCUUUAAAAGUGCUUUCAAGCUGAGAAUCUGUUCUAUGGCUGAGCUGGAGGAAAAUUUAAUGGCUGAGUUAAAACCCUCUCUCCCGAAAAGUAGGAAGCCCAUAAAGGGUGGGAUUGCCAUAGGCAAAGAAGGAAAUGAUUACAAGGAACAGAUAAGGAGUUCAUUAGAGCCAAGGUCAAGAGAAGGAAGAACCUUAGAAGUAUUCUGGAAGUGAUGAUAAACCCACCCAUGAAGGCAUCAUUAUCUAAUGGGCUGAUAUAUAGUGAUACAAGUGUCUGCUUGUAUUUUCUUUUUCCGCAUGCAUGGAUUUCUAAAGUCCAGUCCCAUUUAGGAUGCACGCCCAUGGAAUUUGGUGAUGAGUUGAAAAUAAGAAUGCUGUGCAAUUUUUUAAUAAGAAACUCUAGGUGUGCCUUUGCAAAUUUUGAAUUCAGAUUCACUUUAGAUCAGAGCAGGCACCCCAAAGCUUUCUUGCUUGUUGCAAGUUUAUCUAAAUCUCUUGUAAUUACUUCAGCUCAUUGUCUUCUGAGCUCAGCCAGAACCUGAAAGUGCAAAGGUGCAUGAAAAAUAAAAAUAACCACUUUAUCAGGCAUUUCUGAACCUUAAAGGAAGGGUUUGGGUCAGGGUAAGCUUGAGGGAUGAGCAUUUAGAAGUUCUUAUUUUCCCGUACAGGUUGUCCACCUAAAUUUUACGAUAGUGAAAACUGUCUGAUUAAAUUGCCUGUUUUUCUGUUUGCACUUUGAUAAAUCACUUUUAUGCAGAUAGUAAAACACACAGCAAACUUGGCAGUUUCCAGACUGGUCCAUUAUUCAUGUUCUGCCUCUCUCUGUGCUGAAACCAGACUUAAACACAGGAAUUGUUCCCUUUUUGUGCAGUGGGAGGAGCACUGGCCUGGAGCACAGGCAGGUGCUUGGGGACAGGGCUGGCUGGGAGCAGAGGCCCUGGCAGCAUCGUGUCCUUGGGAAGCACCUUCCAAAAUCUGCACAAACUUGUAUUUCCAGCCCUAAAAAGAAAGGAUCCCCAACUGGCAGCGCUCAGAGAAGGAAAAACUUAAAGUGAUGAAGAGCCGGACCAAACAUUUCAACUUGUGCCUCAUUUUUUUUUUUUCUAAAGUUUUAAGAUUUCUUAACCGACUUUUUUUUUUUUGCUGUGUAAGGUAAAACAGGCCCCAGGCAACUUUAACUUGCAUGACCAGCAUUCACCAACCUUGGCAGAAGCACAAAGGUCGCAUUUAACUUCUCACACAGGCGAACUAUUGAACAAGGUCUUCUAUGUACUAGGAAUAACAAGGAUUUUCUUUACCAUCUAUUGUGUAGGUUUCUUCUUUUCAUCUCUUCUUUCCUCCAGAGAAUACACUGAUUUUCCAUGAAACAGGUUCCCUUCACAAGACUGAAUAUAACUGCUCAGUCCUGCCCACCCUUAAGGCUGUGGUGGGAAGAGCAGCUGAGAGUUUGGAGUUUAAGUGUGAAUUUUAGUUUAAAAAAAUUAAAGAAUACCUGAAAAGCAGAAGAUAAUGGGAAAAUGUAUUUAUAAUCUUGUUUGACAUCCUGAUCUCAAAGAAUGAUGCUUAUCGCAUUGCUCCUGAGAUCCAACAAUGUGUAUUUUACUCUAUUAGAAUACUAAUUCAUGUGAAAAUCUAACAUUAAUGAACAGAAAGAUCAAAUAUAACAGUGAAUUUGACUGUUCAGGUAAAGUAAAAUAUUCAUAGAAUUUUAUUUGUAUGUCAACAUGAUACAUACAAUCCAACUGGAGCUGAAGGUUGGCUGGGUGGAAGGAUGAUGGCAUUGGGAUCUGUCACCUCAUCCGUGCCACUCACCAAGGACACGGUGACACAGCCCCAAUUUCGAACCCUUUUGGCAGGUAGGAUUAAAACGGAGCAGGAACCCACCACGGGUGGUGGUUAUAACGGUGUUCUGAGCAAUGUCCUGUGAGCAAAACUCGGAGCAGAGCUACGUGAAUUUGCAGAUGCACAGAUGGGGAAUAGCUGGAUGAAGGGGAACUGAUUUACCCUGUAAAUGGAAAUGUUUUGGGGGAAGGACCGUGUGGUUUUGCUGUGUUGAGGAGAAAUCGUGCUUUCCUGCAAUAAAGUGCUGCAGUUUUGUGCUGCUGAAAAUUCGUGCUGUUAUAUCCUCAGCCUUGAUCAGCACGGCUGAUCUCCACUGUGGGACAUAGUCCUUUUUGGGCUGUUCUUUCAGGUGACUUGAAAUGGCUGGAGGUUCAUUAGUCCUGAGAAUAUUACAACUUGGUAGGAACACUUAUAAUUCAGUUUUCUUUUAUUUUCAAGUAGAGGGAAAAUGUUAUCUGCUGCUUGCUUUAUUUACAAUAAAAGCUGUAUGGGCAUGAACUGGAGUUUAUUACUGUCAAUAAGCUUGUGGAAGGCUAGAAGGAGGAGUUAUUACCUUUUUAAUCAGCAAUUUCUUUAUGCAGAAACAACGCUUGAAUGGACUGGUAACAAGAUGCUGAGCCACAACUCUGUGCUAAAGUGGCUGAAAUUUUAUUUUGUUUUAUUUUUUUACAUCAUUUUAACCUCCAUAAGGCUUUAUGCUGAAGAUCACUGAACAUAAACUGUGUUGGGUGGCACCCGCUUCCCGAGCGGUGAUAAGCAAUCAGCUCUGUGGCAGCAUAUUAAAAGGCAACCGUAUCGACGAUGCUCUUUAUUGCCUAAUCAAAAUAUUUCAGGGUUUUUACAUUUUGCAAGGCUGACUUGCCAAAGGCUUCCUCGAGCCGCACAUGCUGCUGCUUUGUCUUGCUUUUCUGCCUUAUUGAAUCCCAUUAAAAGACAAACAACUCGCGCAGUCGUUAGGCACCGCGCUGACAACACCUGUCAGUCUGUCACUCCGAGUCACAGGCAGAUACCGUGGAGCUUCAUUUGGGCAGAAUUAAGAGGAAAAUAGAAAGAAACGUAUCUGGGGCACCUGUUGUCAGCAAAGGAGUGAUGGGAUUAUUAUUGCCCAAAAUGAACUCAACGUGCUGCUCAAAGGCAGCCGGUAACAAGUGCUGUUGUACUUAAUCAAUGCUGUUGAGCAUGGUCGUGGAUUUUCAAAUAUUUUCCUGAUUUUUCAUCAGGAGGGGGUGUCUGCAUCAGAAACAUUCAGUUAUGCACACCCUGGAAAUGCAAACCCAGGCACAUAAACAAAUGCACUGGAAAUGCUCAUUCUUCAGUGAUUAAUUGCCAUUAACCUCACUUGUGUUUGUGACCUUGCAAAGUGACUAACAAGUACUACUUCAAUCCCCAGAGAUUUGAUUUGCUUGAGAAGGACUAUUAAAAGGAUUAAGGAUUAAUUGCAAGACUCUUUUUUUUCCAAGAGGGAAAGGUUUAUUAUUGUAUCAGGUGUCUACACACAGAGAAAACAUCUUUUCUACAGAGGUAAAAGAUUAAAGGGUUUGAAAGCAAACACUGUAGAUACUCUUUCUUGAAAAAUGUGCAGUAGCUCUAAGUCUGGUUGUGUUUGGUCUUUUAACAGCCGUUAUUCCAACAGUUAUUACUUAGUGACUUGCAUGUUCAAUGAAGCCUGUGCAAAAACAAUUUGCAGUUUUGUCUUUAUUUCUAUUUUAAAUCUUUGAUUGGUUUCAGUCUAAUUUAGGUUAUAGAGAAAGAAAAUGGAAGAGAUCUCUGGUAAUUCUGUAUUACCUUAUCUCGGCUGAAUGAAAUGCUGUUGUUCAGAUCUGCCGCUCCUGGAAGCUGCUGAGGAAGGUCACCUCAAUGGGGAUUUUCAUGGAAAUUUGAUGGUUCCAGGUUGUUCUGACCUUACUGAUGGGAAAACAGGGCAGUACCUGAUAGUCUAUGAAGUCUGUCAGUUAUUGAUAAGUAAAAUUUGGGAUAUAUAUUCUUUACAUACAUUUUAAAAAAUGAGAGAAAGCAGUAUGUAGGGUAGGGAGAAAGAGCAAAGAAAUCGCAUAGGACACAGUCCAUGUGGUUUAUUUUCAUACAUGUGGAUUUCAAAUUCAACUUAAUUAUUUUAUUUCUGCUGCUGAUUUGUUAAAGACCUAUUACUACUAGUCCUGCCAUGUAGCUUUUAAGAACCACGGCAUACCUAUUAAUGCAUUGUGUUUUCAAUUAGAAGUGAAGAAAUCAGUAUAGAGUUGGUUGCUAUUUUGCAGUUUGAAAUGAUCUUAACUUGACCCACCCUCCCUGAUGUCGAAGGUAAAUUAAGAGUUGAUUUCACAUCAUGAUCCCACACUAUCUGGAUGCCCAGGAACCGGUUCACAUCCUGACUCCUGGAUAUUUCAUGUGGACUUGCAAGACUUUAUUAUUUAACUCAUCCAUUCCCAUAGCAGCACACAAACCACUGUUCCACUGAUUGCAUUCAGACAAUAGGUUCUCUUUUGUUUUUCCAGACCUCCAUGUCAUUCUAGUUUCUCUCUUAUUCAGUCUGAAUUAGCUUUAUUUAAUUUAUUUUUCAUCUUCCGUCCUAUACCACUGUUGGACCCAGUGUUAUGGUGAACCUCUUAUCCCUGUAUUGGAAAUUUGUGUAGCUCUACAUGGCUCUCAUGCUCCUUCCAUGCCCCGUGUGAGCCCAGGGUGGGUCACAGCAUCUGUAUUUAACAGCUGGGCUGAUAAAUGUAACCUGAGUUCAUGAGAUGUAGAAAAAUAACAGUAAAAACUCUUCUCUUUUAAUAAGCAACUGCCAGGCUGAUUGCCAUCACCCAUUUCCCUGCUCCCUCAUCUUCAUGAGGCAUCUUCUAGGGUGAAAUGUCAGUUUUAUGGGGACGUUGUCGCUGACCUGAGAUGAAGUUGGAUGCAACUCCAAGUGCUGUUUCUUUACAAGAAAGCUGCCUUUGUAUCCAAAAGCAAACAUCAACACUGCAUGGCUCUUUCAGCCGAGUUUCACCUGUUGAUUUUGUAUUACCAGGAACAGAAUAUCUGAUCUGCAGAGGGAAUAAGGUUGGCUGGGGUCACAAAUCACAAGCAAAACCACAAACGGCUGCACAAGGGAUGGGACUGCAGGUAAUCUGACUUGAAUUCCUGAACAGUUCAUUGUUACAAACCGAGAAUUUUUCUACAAACCUAGAAUUUCCAACUGUUUCCCACCUGCAAAAUAACAAUUUCUCACAAUUCUAAUCAUACUGAGAAGCAAUCUCUUGUGUGGUGGGGGGAAUAAUGAGGAUCGUGACCAUCAUGGCUAUACCUGUACCCAAUGGGAAGGGUUGGGAUGGCAGGCGGAUUUACAGUGGUCGUGCAAGGUGAUACAGGAGGAUGUUUGGACCGCACUCACCCAGCCUGAGCCAAGCUGGUCCCACCACGGCCAGAGGGUCCCACAUCCCCGUGACAUGGAGUGAAGCCCUGGGACCUGCAGUCAUUCAAGGCACCAGGGAAGUUUUUGUUGGAGAUAUUCAGUCCCCGAGUCUGAAAACUCCUGAUGGAUGGACACCUUUGAAAAUGUUAAUCUGCUUACAGUGUUGAAAAAGAAGUAAGAACAUUCCAGAAAUGAAGAAAUGAAAACAUGAACAGCUCAGACUCUCCAACAGGAGGCAGGGGAAGGGUUUGGAACACGAGGUGCUCCCAUUCGUCUCUCCCUGACAGGACAGUGACAUCACUUGCUCACUGUGCCCAUGUGUAUUGGAUUGGGAUGGGGGACCUUGACACGUUCAUCACAUUAACUAUGACUCCUGUUGCAACAGCGUCUACCCCAGUCACCCAAACUAUACAUUAAAAUUAUGCUGGGAGUACUAAUUCUUUGAAUUUGCGGGGGAGAUAAUUCAAUCCUGUUCCUUUCUACACCUUCAGAAGGAAAUCCCAUCACCACUUGGAAAGUGAGAGUAAACAAUAACCUUAUGCUCAUUGAGAUCAUAGAACACCAGGUUGGAAGAGAACACAAGGAUCAUCUGGUUCAACCUUUCUUGGCGAAAGUUCUAGACAAGCUGGCCCAGCUGAAUCUUUUCAAAUUUCCCACUUUCCUUAGUGCUGCAAUUGAGCUUCUCUUCUGAAGCUCACACAAUCCUGAUGUACUCCCAGCUGAGAAAAAGGGGGAUCAAAUGGUUGACGAGCAUAGGAGAUUCCAAAGUUCUUUCAGCAGACCUGGGUAAGCACAAUAUUAUUAUCCACCUUCAAGUUUACUUGUACCUCUAGAUUAUUAUACACCUUUGAGUGUCUUGUAUCUCUAGAGAUAAGAUGAUGUUGUCUGUUGUCUUGGGUUAACACAAAACACUGUAAUUGCCUAUUUAUGCACACAGAUUCCUAUGUACCAAAACUGCUUGUUUGAUCAGAGAUUACAAUAUGAGUACUACCUUUUGUCUGACUUUUCCACCGAUUUCUUAGUAGCUGUGUUUCAUCAGAGUAAACCUGCCCGCCUAGGAACGUCACAGAAUAACCUACUGAAAAAGAGACAACACUGGAGUAUUGUCUGCUUAACAUAAUGUUCACAAUAUUUCCCUGUUGAAAUCUCCUACAUGGCUAAUAAAUAUUUAAUGAACAAUGGUCUGUCUUGUGACAAGGUAUUAAUAACUCCAAAGAAGCUCUGUUGGACUUCAGCUGCUGCUGGGAACUGGAAUUUGUCUUAGUUUAUGACCAGGAAGAUAAUUUUAUUUUAAUUUGAUGCAUUUUGAUACGUUGCAUAUACUGUUAGGUUUUAGUAAAACAACAUUAAAAUUAAUUUGAAUUAGCUAUAACAUUUGAUAAGAAGGGGUGAUUUUAGGUUCUCUGGAUUCCCUUGUUGCUUGAUGCUAAACUUUAUUAGCAAGGUCGAUGCUCCUCUUUUGGGGCACCCCUAUUAUACUUUACUGCAAUGAUUUUGGUUCCAUUUUUCCCCCUGUCCUGUGUCUCCCUCCCAGAGCAAAAUCAAAAUAUUUUGAUAUAUAAGAUCAAAAUCAAAACAGCUGGGGUUUAACUCUUGGCUGGACCAGACUGGUCUGUGCUGAGCACUCGUGAGAAUGUACCCUUUACAUCUUCUGGGUGAAAUCUUCCCCACUUCGGUGACAAUGAGAGUUUUGUGGCUUCUGUUGGACGAGAAUCCCAGCGCUUCUAUAGACCAGGGAAACUGUACAGAGAAAUCUCACCAUUUCUGUGAAAACCCAUGGUCACGAAGACUGAGGCACAGGUAACAGAUAAACAUCUGUUUUUAAAGGCCACACUAUGACCAUUGUUUCCAUAAUCUACAAGGGCAACAAAGAUGAUUAAGGGAGUGGAGCAUCUCCCUUAUGAAGAAAAGCUGAGGGAGCUGGGUCUCUUUAGUUUGGAGAAGAGGAGACUGAGGGGUGACCUUAUUAAUGUUUAUAAAUAUAUAAAGGGUGAGUGCCAUGAGGAUGGAGCCAGGCUCUUCUCGGUGGCAAACAAUGAUAGGACAAGGGGUAAUGGGAGGUUCCACUUAAAUUAGAGAAAAAACUUCUUCUCAGUGAGGGUGACAGAACACUGGAACAGGCUGCCCAGGGAGGUUGUGGAGUCUCCUUCUCUGCAGACAUUCAAAACCCACCUGGACAUGUUCCUGUCCGACCUCACCCAGGCGUUCCUGCUCCAGCAGGGGGAUUGGACUGGAUGAUCUUUUGAGGUCCCUUCCAAUCCCAAACAUACUGUGAUACUGUGAUAAUCUAGGCUAUGAACUUCAGCCAGCACUUAGAUAUCAGACAUUUGCAUUACAGUCGCUGGGCAGCUAAAGGUUUUCCAACUUUCUCAGUAGGAUCGAAAUGUGCAGUUUUAGCCUUUAUUUAAAUCUAUAGUACAUUGUUUAAGGAACCCCUGCAAGAAGAACAAAACAAUGAACAUUGAUAACAGUAAACAGUAGUAAACCAUUGUUAUCGCUCACUCUUUGUACUGCACCUUUUGUGGUCCACUUUAUUUAACAACUUUAUCUCUGAUUUUAUGUUUUUAUCUAUGUGUUAAGGCCUUUUGUGCAUAAAUAAACCCUGUCAGGGCCGCCAUAUGACAGAUCUGGCAUUUCUAUUCUGCCAGCUGUGACGUGGGCAGAAAUGUUCACUGCUUGUUUAAUGAUAAUUCUUUAAUUAUAGAUCAGAUAUAAUCUAACUUUAGUUAAGGUUGCACACAGAGUAAGUCCUAGUGAAGACAAAUCGAUAUGACAUGCAUCAAUUAGAGGAUUUUUAGGGGUAAAUAUUAAAUUGAUGAGGAUUGUGAGAAAUAGUAUGUUCAAUCUACUAUGCAAUUCAACAUUUAUUGUCAUGUUGAAAAUAGGGGGACGUGGUUUAAUCUGUAAUUAUGGUAAGGGAAUUUAGAUAAUGCUGUGCAUGAAGAACCAGCCAUAUUUCCAUCUCCAGUUCACUUUACAGCAUCAAAAAAUACAUCCCUUUUUAAAACUUAAAUAUCUUACAUAUUUUAGGCUCUUCUCUUUCGAGGCUGAACCUUGAACCCACAAACCAAAAGUGCAGCAUCACUCCCACCAGAUGUGUUUUUCUUUCCCAAAUGGACCAGAACCUCAUUUCUUUUAAAUGCUUCUCGAACAGUAUUUGAAGAAUUGUGGGGUCUUUAAAGAGUUGGGGAUCUUGGGGGUGUUUCAGCCCAUUUUCUUGGUCUCUGACAGGUCAGUUCAGCUCAGGAACAUGUUCUCCCCUUUUAUUAGGAAGAGGCACAGACAUGUUCAGUUACUCAGAAACUCAACUUACUCUGUAUUUAAGAUGAAGAAGUCAAGGUAACUCCAGAGAGUUUAAAGACAAGAAGCAAAAGCAAUAAAUAAAACCUGUUUUAAAUAUACAAGAGCGACACAGAGAUACCCUCUAGAUAUUGAUGUGCCACUUUUUAAUAUAAUACUUCUCAGCUAUCACAUGCCUCUAUAAGAAAGGAAAAUGCACUGACAACAAGCUGCUGUAUCUCUGCUCGCAAGGGUGAUGAAACAGCCUGGCUCAGGUUGUUCUGCCCGAGAAAUAAUGUGGAAUGAGCAAAUCAGUUUGCAAUGCACAUCUUCCCACAGAAAAUCACCGUCACUCUUUUGCAAACUCGGCUGAAACAGUGCGUUUUAGGGGCUGCGUUGCUGGCCAUCAAUUAGAAGUCGGAUGAUAGCUGAUUAAACUAUUUUUGCUGUGCGUGGGCUCUGGAAAGGAGCAGUUUCACAGGGUUGUUCCAUUUCUUUGUGUUUUCUUUCUGAGGCACACAAGGUGUAUUCUUCCUUUCUUUUGCCUGUUUAUCCAUUUGCAGAAUAGAAACUGCAUAGUACUGUGUUUAGAUAUAAUUACAAUAAAAUACAGUAGAAAUAAAAUUCCAAGCUGAAUAGUAUAAUAUCUCCAUCACAUUUUCCCUUGUGCCUUGGUUUAAAUUUCAAACCUGCUCACUGAUGCUCGGAUUUAUAUCUGGUUCUCUGAUUAAUGGGUAUUAUCUGACAAUCCCAUUGAUGAGGUCCAGCUGAGCCAUGUCCCUAACAGGGGACGUCCCUCCUGAUGAUGAGGAGGAGCAGGGCCCAGGUCCUUUCCAUGUGGCCAAGGCUUCGUCUGAAACUUUGGAAACACUCCCCUUCGGCUUAUCUCUUUUCCCAUUUCUGUGCAUGGCAAAAAGAAGGAGGGGAGAAAGAAAAACGAGUUUGGUUUGUAAGAGGAACCACUGGGAGGCCAUAAACUAUCAAGGUGCCUCCGCUUAGUACAAGAAUAAAUGAAAUCAGCUGGGUAUCAGAAGUGCUUUUUCCUUUCCAGCCUGCUGAAAGGAUAACAAACAUAAUGAUGAUUAAUCAUGUUCUUUGCAGCUAUAUGUGUGGUUUUAUCCUAUAAGAGAUCAAAGCGGAGCUCGUGCUUUCACAGAAAGUGCCAACUGGCACCUUCUUCUUUUUAUAAGGGUUGUCUGGAAGGCAUUUGUGUUCAGAUAUGCCAAAGGAGCAAAGGCAUAAAUGUACAAUGCCAAGAAAUGAAAUUCUCCAGCCGUAAGUCCUUCAGAGGGAAUGCCAAGUCAUGUCAUAACAUUAUUCAUAUUUCAAGAUAUUUAGUUUCUUUUUUAUUUCUAAUGUUAAAAUGUAAACGCCUUUGACUGUAAAUCACUUAACGCAUUAAUUUUAGUAAGUAUUUGAAUGUGACAGCUUUAUAUGAUAAGUGAAGAUUUUUGCUUCUCUUCAGUUCUUUCUAAUCUUCCCUUUUAAUAGAUGCUGAUAUUGAAACAGAGAUUGUAAUGACUUUUUUCAAUGUGUGGCCAUGCUUGGAAACAAAAUCUGAACACAUACCUUAGUCCUUAAAUUCUGAGUGCUCAUCUAUUAGAGCAUUUUAUCCAAGUAAACCCAAAAUUACAGACAACAUGGAGUUGUGUUACUACAGAGUUAUGCUGAACUAUUCUCAAACUCAUAAACAUUGUCCUUUUAAAUAAAAUCAGACUUCUAGGUAUAAAAAUUUCCCAGGUUCAAUCAUAUUGUAUCAGGACACAGAGAAAAGCUGAUGGACGUUAAACAGCUGUUCCUUUUUCCAUAAUUUAAACUGUAUAAUAAUAAUAAAGUGAGGAAAUAUAUUGCUUUAGCAUAUAGUUAUCAUGAAAACUGACAGUAUAUAAAAAUCUUUAAUAUCGUAUAAUUCCGUGAUUAAUUACAAUUUUUGGCCUCAUUCAAGAAAAAUACUGUCUUUCUUUAAAAUGCUCCUGACUCCACAGUACAACUUUGGGAACAGACUGUUCAACUUUUGGAAACUGAUUCUGUCCACAGGGAGAAAUUUUGCAGGGCUUUCCUACAGCCUUAUGUUUCCUAUAGUAUCCCUCCACUAGCAUUAUAGAUGAGUAUAAAAGUAACAUAUAUAGGUAACAGCAAAAUAUAGCCCUGGAAGUCAGUCCAGGUUUCUCUUUCAAACUCUACCAUCCUAUCCUCAAAUUCACAAAGUAAAUAAAAACAAAAUUUAACGAAACAUAUAUGAAUUUGCAUGACUAUCCCUUAAAAAUACAAAAUCCUAGUGAGAGAGGGAUUUUAUGUCAGAAUGCCUGAUGUUACAUUUUAAAUGUGAUCAGACCAGGAAAAGUACUGCAAUUUUUCAUUCAACCAUCACAAAAUGGAGACCUAACUCUUGGGUCUGAUUUCUAGUCAAAAUACCAACCCAUCCACCUUUCCAAGUGGUCUCAGUAUUUAACUUUGAGGCUUGAGUUUAAGUGUUAGUCCAGCUGUGCUGUGUCCACCUGCCUGGUGGCACUCAGUGGCCUAAUUGCAGGAAAUGUUCCCAAAUGUAUUUGUAGUUCCUGUAACAGAGGCUUUGCUGGAGGGCGGUGAUAAAUUUCAGGUUUGCACUCCUUGGCAGGGCUUGGCAACCUCUUUCCUGACGGUAGAGACCUGGGGAGAAAACAGGCAAAAUUAACACAUUUUUUAAUUUGCUGCUUUGAGUCUUGACAAAAAAAAUAUGCUCCUGAGGACUGCUGAUGUAUUUUUUUAUCUUACUAUAGCAUCAUAGACUGAUUUAUUAUUUCCUAUUAUCACUAAUAUUUUCAGCAAACUGAGUAAUCACUGGCAUUUUGUAUCCAGUGUAAAAAUGCAGCCUGAAUUCUUGUUGGAAGAGUCUGGGAGUGGGCAAAAGAAAAUUUGUUUUAGCAUCAUGGCCCUGCAAAAUUCAGCGAUUAGAAUAAAGUGGCCCUUGUUUCUGAUACCUCCUAUUAGAAACAGUGAGACUCUUUGGACUUCAGUGUCCAUCUUGUACCUCAGCUCGUUAUUGGGUAAGUACCUUGAAAAGAUGACCAGUGUUGAAGCAAAGAAGCAUAAUAACUUGAAGCAGAUGCAUCAAUAAAAACUCAGUAAGGAGACAGAAGCUGGGGGCAGGGACUCAGUUUCUGUUGGUUUGGGAUGUGGAAAAGCAGCUGUGAUUCUUGGCUGCUGUGCUGCCAGGAAGGUUUCUGGCAUAUUCCAGGGGAGAGAAUAGGUCACUUAACUCUUGAAGUAAAAAGGUAUUGGGUCACCAACAGGCCAUGAGAAGACCUUCCUAUCCUAUCCCCCAAAAUAGCUCGCUCCAAAACAAAACCCCCUCAUUCCAGGUAAGCUCAUGAAUGCUGAGGUCUGCCUUGGUGAAUCCUGAAUUUUCUUGAGUUUCUGGACUAGUGUGGAAUCCGUUUUCAGCUUUGCGAUAGGGUUUGCUGAGCCCGAGAGCUGCCAUGGCCAGGGGUGGCCUUGCACCUCUGGUUGUCUCAUUGCACCUCAUCUGGCUGCACCUUCCUCCCCUAAUGCUGCAUAAAGGCCCUUUUGCUUCUAGUGGAGUCCCAGUUUCCAGUUGCUCUGAGACCACAUCCUCUCAAUAAUAAUCUUUUAAUCUAACCUUAAUUACCGCCUUCUCUCCCUCUCAAAAUUUCCUUCAAGUUCAAUAUUUCCAGAGUGCUCACUGGUUCCUGUUGGAAAUAGCCUGAACUGCAUAAAAACAGAGUAUGUUUAAAAAGCUUCAUAUUCAGGGACUUCAAGAACCUUCGGCAUAUCUUUUCACUCCCCGAACAAAAGAAGAGCCCUAGUAUUCACCGCUGUGCCUACUUCUGUAAAGAACCUACAAAGCAUGUAGAAAAAAAGAGGUUAAAAUGCAAAUUGCUGCAAGACUCUGAAGUAUAAAGCAGAACUGAAAAUAUUACUGAACAUUUUGAAAGGCUGGAUUGCUUUCUGGAAAUGAGAGGGGACCACGUGCUCUAUAUUCUUCUAUUACUGGGCACCAGAUGUUUUAGCAACCAUAACUAGUAUUUAAAAAGCUAAACAAAAACCAUCCCAAACAAAACAACUUUAACCCUUUUGCAGAUAAAAGUCUGUGUCUGCCUAAAGCCAGAGGAUGUUUUUAUUGUCUGUAACCUUUUCUUUGGCCACUGGGUUGUCAUAGGAAACAUCUGGGAAGCUGCAAAAUUCUCAUUGCUUAAUGUCAGGAAAUUCCCAAUAUCUUGCAAAACUGGAGCACCUGAAGUUGGGUUUUUUCCAACCCUUGUGCAAAGAAAAAGGCUGAAUUUCGGAGGACAGGUGAUUCCGGCCUCUAUCUCAUGAUGGUUGUCUUGUAAUAUCUCUCUUUGGUUGCAGGAACAGUGCCCUGCUUCAAAUACAGUGCUUCUAUAUUCCACUGGUGUGAUGCUGUAUCAAAAACCUUUCAUUUUUAGAAACAUAAUACCUGAUAAGCAGCAUUAUCAAAAUAUCUUCCAGGUUUGGUUUGCUUUUUUCCUCCCAUAAAAAUGUUAUUUCCACUGUUUCUCCCUUUUUAAUGGAAAGCAACAAACAGCUGUUGCGAUGUAACAACAUCCCAAACCACCGCUUUCGUGCAUCAGUGUGUACAAGCAUAUGGAUGCCUUUGACGGAAUAAAAAGUAUUCUUAUGAAGUGUACUCCCAGGCUUUGGCUUUGAGAAAGUUUUAUAUUAUGUCUGUAUUUCAAUAAGAAAAAAUACAUCCUUUUCUUUUUAUCUUCAUGACGUUGUUUCCCAAUACGAUAGAACUUGUCUUUUACUUUGUUUUAGAAAGUAAUUUGCUUCUGAAGCCAUGAAUUUGCUCAAAUAACCCCAAAUAAUCAUACAGCUGCUUAUUAUCGUGAUGUCUAUGAGCGCAGAGCUCAUGAUUUCACCAAUACCUCUACGUGUCAAGUCAUGCGUGAAGGUUUUGACGGUCUCUGUCCGCCUGUCCUGGUUUUGUUAAAAACAAGUUUCUCUUUUAGUGAAUUUGCCUGUCAGCUAAAGCCUUCAUAUUAACUGCACUUUCCUGGAGAACCAGACACAUGUUUUGGUAAACCUAGCAAUGGAAUGCAAACUUAUUGAUAAGCAUGGAUGGACAUCUCGCGAGAGGGGCGACAAGAAACAAGUGACCAAGAAACUGACCAACUGUGUAUAACAUCCCAUUCACGUGAAUACUUCAUAUAAAAGUGGGAGAUCACGAGGAUCUUGUCCCUUUGCCUUUUGCCUUUUCCCUUCUGCUCAUUGCCGACAUUAGGAGAGGACCUUGCUAGUCGUCCCUGUGAACUGAGGCCUAGUGACAGACUGAAUCCAGCUCCGGUUGGCUGCAGAGUCCAGUCCAGGACUUUGGUUGCCGGCUCUGCAAUUGCUGAGGCUUUCAAGAUUGGUUUUGUAUAUUUUGUAUUAUUUUCUCUAUUCUUAUUAGUAGCAUUAGUAAAACAUCUUUAAUUUUU